CUAGGAGCAUGCGUAGUCAGGUAGGGGGAAAUCUGAGGGUGGAAUGUGGGGCAAGGAGCAGCCCAACCCUCCAAGCCCCCAAGUCACGUGGUCCUGGAGCGGGUGAACGACAUCACUCUAAAGUGCUGGGAUGGAGGAAGACCAGAAACGAACUCGUAAGACCUUAUAGAUGGCCUUCUCAUUCCGGACAAAGCAUCGAGUCACUGGACACCAGAGAGCCAGCGCUAUGCUGGGUGCAGAGUUUAGCCCCAGGGGGAAGGAGGGAAGAGAACCCAGGGCCUUGUGCCUGCUAGGCUCGCCUUCUGUACCAGCUACGGCAGAAAGGAAAGGAUCUAAAGACACGCUUAUGUCUCAAUCUGUCAAGCUAAGGAAACGACGGACAACAGAGACAUGAGACGCCCCUCAAGAACGGCACGCGGAGAGAAGGAAAAGGCACCAGCCCAAAGGAGGACUUAUCUCUAUCUCGUUAGAAAGAGAUUUCACACAGUUUUCAGGGAUGAGACUGAAGCACAGACACAGCUCAGUGGUAGGCGGGACCACACCUUGAACGGGCUGCAUAGCUAUGCAAGUCCCUGACUUCUAUUUAAACUUUGAUCUCUCCUUAGGACAGGUGGAUUUUGGUAGCAUUUGCUGGAUCUCUGUACCUCUCUUCCCAAUGAGGCAACAUUAAAUACACCUCCCUUUCUGCCUUCCAA